CUCUCCCAAAGGCGCAGUACCAGCUCCAGCCCAAGUCAUUGCGGAGGGCGCCGACCAGGGGACGUCUGCGACCUCAAGAGGGAGACAGAGUCGGGGCCCAAAGCAUCUGAAGACCGCGCUGGCGGGACGAAGCCUUAGGGAGGAGAUGACAAGGCGGCACUCGUGUCUGAAAGCGCGUUGCUCCUCCGCGUGCGUACGGGGACGCGCCUGGCCGCAGCUCCACCUGGAGGCUGCAGGACGGACCGGUUUGCCGGGAAGGCGGCCCCAGAUGACACUGAUGUGCUGGGGGCCUGCGAUGUGGAUUGGAGACAAACAUGGUGGGCGGAACGGAAAGCCAUGCACCGUCACUAGAGCCAUUUGGGGGGAGAAUGGACGUGCCUGCGGAGAGAAUAAAGGCCCAGGGAGAGCCCGGUGCCAACCUGGGAGGUGAGCAGAGUGGUGUGAACACCCCCAUUUUACAGAUGAAGUGAGGGAGACGUUCAGAUGCUUAACGACUGGUUCAAUAUUCCAUACUUAAUAAGGCGCAGAUGGACACUCUCAACAUAAAAUGUGGGUCAUCUCUUUAUUAUUUUAUGUGUAUUGGCUAACAGUGAUCAGCCAUGUAAGAAUAAAUUCUAAUUGUAAAAUCUUCAAA